CUAGCGACUUCAGAGUUUGAUCCUGGCUCAGACGAACGCUGGUGGCGUGUUUUAUACAUGCAAGUCGAGCGAGGACAGUAGCUUGCUACUGAGCCGAGCGGCGAACGGGUGAGUAACGCGUAAGCAAUCUGCCCUACAGUAGGGAACAACCAGGCCAACGCCUGGCUAAUACCGUAUAUAGUGGAAGGUCGCCUGACCUUUUGACGAAAGAUUUAUCGCUGUAGGAUGAGCUUGCGUCCGAUUAGCUAGUAGGCGGGGUAACGGCCCACCUAGGCGACGAUCGGUAGCCGGCCUGAGAGGGUGAUCGGCCACAUUGGGACUGAGAUACGGCCCAG
rnacentral:rRNA from 1 species